CUGCGCAGAGAGCAUUUGCUGUGAAUCCUCAAAACCAGUGUCAGGACCAAAGAUGUUCCAACUUGGGAGCCUUGUUGUCUUUUGUAGCCUGCUCGCUGAGACCUCAGCAUCUCUUUUAGAUGCCCUUCAGAACCAGAACCUGGAUGUGGGUUUUCUUCAAGAAACCUUGAAAUGGCCAUUAGCUAAGAACAAUAUUAUAGAAGCCUUGAACACAUUGGACCUUGAUGUAUUUAACUACUUUUCAUCUCAGAAUGAUUUUGGGAUGUAGAGGAAAAGAAGGCUAUGAGGACAGUUGAAAAUGCUACUAGGAAGAAUGACAAGAGUGCACUUGUGGAUUUUGAGCAAGUUGAAAAUCAACGAAUUAAGUAUCUUGGACUUGCAAACUUCCUCAUCUUCUGACGGCAAUGGCAUUAACUUGAAGGUGCCAGUGAAAGCGAAUGCUUCAGUGUUUCUGCCUCUUCUUGGCUCCAGAGUCGAUGUUGCUAUUUCCUCCGUCCUUAUAACUUCACUCACUGUUCAAACAGAUGCCCAGACUGGCCUUCCCACUCUGACCAUAGGGAAAUGCUGGAGUGAUACAGACAAAAUCUCCAUUUCCUUAUUGGGCAGGUAAGGCUCAUAUGUCCCUUUCAGCUGGGUCAAUGUGCCUUAAGCCUCUGAAUGCAGUAACAUUAGAUUCACCUCUAGGGGAAGGCAGUGAGAUAAUUACAUGUUAGCAUGGGAUCUGAUUGUUCUGAUGUAUUCUCUUCUCUACCUUCUAGAAAAUUCCUAGAGAAAGCCUUGACAUUCCAAUUUUGUUAUUUUUUGUCAAUGAAUCCAUUUGAUCCUCAAAAUUUGGAUCUUAUUUUAUGCUUUGAAAAGUAUGUUUGGAUUAGGCAGGGGUUGGAGGAGGUGACACUACCCAGUGUCUCAGAGGGACCAUGGCCUGCAAGUCAAGGGCUGGGGCUGGGAAGUCUUGGUGAGGGAUACAGGGAUGGCCUCUCUUCCCAGCCUCAAUAUCCAUGUCCUGGGGCCCCUCACCUUCCCGCUACCAAAGAUCUAAUCUCAAAUAAAAGACAGGACCACAGUUUUGGCAAGCAAGUCCAAAGGACUGGGUUCUUCUUGACACUACCUGCCAAGCAGCUCCAGGAAACUCAUGUUGCUCCACUGAGUCUGAAUCCACAAGGCCAUGUAGACUCUCAUGAUACAGCUCAUGUCUCACUCUCCUUUAAACACAUUGGCUUUUGUUCUGUGCUCACACUAGUUUCUCCUAACACAGGACUUUGCAUGGAAGUGGUGGUUAUGUAAAACAUUGUAGUCCUUACUCUAUAUCAAUGUACCUUUCAUCUUUAAGUAUCUUGAUUGAUUCCCUCUUUUCCUCACAAGAGUAUACUCUUAACCUUCAGAGUACUUGUCCCUGAUGUCACUGUGUGUGCAAACAUAUUUUAUGACAGGGUCUCACUGUACAGCUCCGGUCAGGUUCAAUCUGUCUCCUUCUUUCUCUGGAAGGCUAGGAUCAAAGGUGGGUGACACUAGACCAGAUGACUCACUGUAUAUUUAACUGGACUUGUUCUUUGCUUAUUGUUGUUAAGGGGGAUGGGUGUUUGGGUGUGAGCACACAUGCGCAGGUGUCAGUGGCUGGAGACCACUAAGUGGGAUAAGAUGGCUGAGGACUCUCCCAUCUCUCUCUUCACUGCACAGAAUUACACGUGUGUGCUCUCACCUGGGUUUGCAUUCUCACUUGAUAUGGCAACUAGAGAUUAAACUCAAGUCCUCAUGAUUGCAAGGGGUAUAUUUUGUAGACUAGGCUAUCUUGUUGGCCACAUUUUUCUGUUAUUCUAGUCAAAACUCUGCUUAAGGCCAGGCAGGCAUUGUUCUGUGCCCUGGAGAAUAAUUUGGUGAAAGCAAACAGAUUCUGUCUCCUGGAAUACAUCCUGAGGAAAAGACAAAGCAUUGUUAUGAAAAAAAAUACUGGAAGGUGUAUCAGGCCUCCUUAAAAACACAGUGAAAAACAUGCUGCAAAACCAAAUAUGUCCACUGCUCCACUGGAUCCUCAGCAACCUGGACGUAAAUGCUUUUCAGAACCUCCUCUUUCUCUCUAGAAAUUGCUAUCACCAUCCGCAGAAAGUCUGCCUGAGCCUGCCUGAAACCCUUCAAGAUUCCCUUCUUCUCCCAGUUGUCUCCAUGCCUGUUAUCGCCACUCAAGCAUUAAAAUCCUAACUGCA